UACGUAGGGUGCAAGCGUUGUCCGGAAUUAUUGGGCGUAAAGAGCUCGUAGGCGGUUUGUCGCGUCGGCUGUGAAAACCUGGGGCUCAACCCCGGGCCUGCAGCCGAUACGGGCAAACUAGAGUUCGGCAGGGGAGACUGGAAUUCCUGGUGUAGCGGUGAAAUGCGCAGAUAUCAGGAGGAACACCGGUGGCGAAGGCGGGUCUCUGGGCAGUAACUGACGCUGAGGAGCGAAAGCGUGGGGAGCGAACAGG
rnacentral:rRNA from 1 species